UACAGAGGGGGCAAGCGUUAUUCGGAAUUAUUGGGCGUAAAGGGCGCGUAGGCGGCUUGGCAAGUGGAUGGUGAAAUCCCUCGGCUUAACCGAGGAACUGCCGUCCAAACUGCUUUGCUUGAGACCGGGAGAGGUGAGUGGAAUUCCCAGUGUAGCGGUGAAAUGCGUAGAUAUUGGGAGGAACACCAGUGGCGAAGGCGGCUCACUGGACCGGUACUGACGCUGAGGAACGAAAGCUAGGGGAGCAAACAGG
rnacentral:rRNA from 1 species